rnacentral:rRNA from 1 species
GUUAGGAAUAUUGGACAAUGGGCGCAAGCCUGAUCCAGCCAUGCCGCGUGAACGAUGAAGGCCUUCGGGUUGUAAAGUUCUUUAGCCGAUGAUUAUAAUGACUGUAGUCGGAAAAUAAGCCCCGGCUAACUUCGUGCCAGCAGCCGCGGUAAUACGAAGGGGGCGAGCGUUAUUCGGAAUCACUGGGCGUAAAGCGUGCGUAGGCGGUCUCGUAAGUUAGGAGUGAAAGCCCAGGGCUCAACCUUGGAAUUGCUCUUAAAACUGCAAGGCUAGAAGUUCGGGGAGGAUAGGGGAAUUUCCAGUGUAGCAGUGAAAUGCGUAGAUAAUGGAAGGAACCCCAGUGGCGUAAGCGGCUAUCUGGACGAGUAUUGACGCUGAGGCACGAAAGCGUUGGGAUCAAAAAGGAUUAAAUACCCUUGUAGUCC